GCAAAUUAUCCUCAUAAGUUUGGCAAUAAGAGGAGCCAUUUGACAAAUCCCGCGCGUUAUACAGCGUGGAGAUUUGUCCAAUGGUGUCACAGAAUCGGAGGCCACGACUGUUUAAUUAAAACACAGACAUCUGCUACGAUUAAUUUAUUUGUAUAGGUGUUGAAUUUUGCCCCAUGCCAUCAACAUAAGGUCUGCGAGUUAAAAUAUGCGGAUUGAAAGUCUGGUUAAUGGCGGUCUUAACUAUAAGGAUCCUAAGGUAGCGAAAUUUAUUGUCCGUUAAAUGCGGUCCCGCAUGAAUAAAGUAACGAUGGUCUCACUGUCUCUACAAGCAUCUCAGUGAAAUUGAAUUAGCCGUGCAGAUGCGGCUUACCUCCGGGUGGACGGGAAGACCCUAUGCAGCUUU
rnacentral:rRNA from 1 species